rnacentral:rRNA from 1 species
AUGUCUAAUUAUUACUCGAGCCCGGGUGACGAAAGGGACCCGCAAACCAUGUACUCACCAGACACGGGAAACGCAUCAUAUCCCGUGCCGUCAGCCCUGGGGAUCUUGCUCUAUUCAAACAAUGCAUCUUCUGGACCAUAUACGGAAUUCAGUGGCAUUAUCCAGCCCCAGCAGAAUUUCAUGGAGCUGCAUGGCCAUCCUUCAGAACAUUCAUCAUCAAGGGAACCUCCUAACAUGGUCACCUCGCUUACAGAGCAAAGCUCCUUUGCUCCUGUCAAAGAUAUGAGGAAUGAGAUGUUAAUGCAUUUCAUGGAUGGUGCACAGAGUGGUGCUGGUGGUGGUGAUCUCAUCCACAAUGAUGCCCAUAGCAGUGCACAGCUUGAUUUCGGCUUGUUGAACAACCCCAGUUCGGCGAGUGUUCCAUCGGCACCAGGCCAAGGAUUGUCCCUGAGCCUCAACACGCAUAUCCUGGCACCUUCAUACCCAUACUGGUCCCCAAAGCCAGACUUGCUGACAACCCAAUCUUACCAGGGCGAUGAAAACAGAAUGAAGAAUAUGCAGUCGGAGGCCUCACGGGCAAUCAGGAAUUCGAAGUAUCUAAAGGCAGCACAAGAAUUGCUUGAUGAGAUUGUCAGUGUUUGGAAGAGUAUAAAGCAGAACGCGCAGAAAGACAAGGUUGAAGCAGGAAAAAUGGAUGGCAAAGAUGCCGAUGAGGUGUUGAAAAGUGAGGGGGUAUCUUCCAAUCCACAGGAGUCUACUGCCAAUGCGGAACCUGAGAUUUCUGCAGCUGAGAAACAAGAGCUCCAGAAUAAGAUGGCGAAACUUUUGGCCAUGCUGGAUGAGGUUGACCGAAAGUACAAGCAUUAUUUCCAUCAAAUGCAAAUUGUAGUGUCGUCUUUCGAUAUGAUUGCUGGGUCUGGAGCUGCCAAACCUUAUACUGCAGUUGCCCUUCAGACAAUAUCGCGGCACUUCCGAUGUCUGAAGGAUGCUAUCAACGACCAGGUUAAUGUUAUCCGAAAGAAACUGGGAGAGGAGGAUAGUUCAUCGGGCAGAGAGGGCAAGUUAACUCGCCUCCGUUACAUUGAUCAGCAGUUAAGGCAACAACGAGCUUUCCAACAGUAUGGUAUGUUACCGCAAAAUGCCUGGAGGCCACAGAGGGGACUGCCUGAAAACUCAGUUUCAAUUCUUCGUGCUUGGCUGUUUGAACACUUCCUUCACCCGUAUCCAAAAGAUUCAGAAAAGCUAAUGCUAGCGAGGCAAACUGGUUUAACAAGAAGUCAGAUUUCGAACUGGUUCAUCAAUGCCCGUGUCCGCCUAUGGAAACCGAUGAUCGAAGACAUGUAUAAAGAAGAGACCGGGGAGGCAGAGCUCGACUCAAACUCCUCCUCGGACAACUUACCAAGAAGCAAGGACAAAAUGGCGUCUUGUGAAGACAAGGAAGAUCUGAAAUGCUCCAUGAGCCAGGGCCAGGCUUACCAAACAAGUGAGUUCAAAGCCAACAUGGAGAUGGCGGGUCUCACCGGAGCGCCGCCCAGCUUCCACAGCGAGGCAAACUCCGACGACGGCUUCAUGAACCUGCUGCUGAAGGACCAAAGACCGGGCGAGGCGGACGGCGGUCUCCUCCAUGGCGACGAGAGCGCGCGGUUCAUGGCCUACCAUUUGGCGGAGCUCGGGGGAUACCAGAACAGCAACGUGUCGUUGACGCUAGGACUGCAGCACGCCGAGAACAGCCUCUCAGCUCCGAACGCUCACCGGCCAGGGUUCACGGCCGGCGGAGGGGAAGAGGAUAUCUACAACACCACCGGGGCUCAUCCCGGCGGUGGCGACGCCGUGGCCUCUUCGGACUACGAGCCGACGAACCAGCUGGAUCAACGGCAGCAGUUCGAGCCGUCGCCCCUGCUGCACGAUUUCGUGGCCUGA